GAAGAUGCUAAGCACUAAAGGAGGCCAUAUGCUUCUACCUUACCAGGUUUUCCGAUGCCCGUGGAGGUCAGAAGAGGGUACCGGACCAAUGGAAUUCAGGUGGCUGUGGUGAGCGCUGUGGGUUGUGAGAACUGAACCUGGGUCCUCUGUAAGAAGGACAAGAGCUCAUGACUGCUUAUCUUCUCUCUGGCCCCUCAUUUUACCUUCACGGGGUCUUGCGUGGCCCAGCCUCACCUCUGAGCUGCUGCUCAGAGAAGGGUGAGUUUGAACUCCCGAUCUUCCUUCCUCUGCCUCCCAAGUGAUGAGAACUGCCACUCCAGGUUUUUGCAGAGCUGAGGACUAAAGUUGGUGCACCAGAGAUGGUGGUUUCUCUGCUUAGCCCUGGCUGUCCUGGAACUCCCACUGUGAACCAGGGCUGGCCUCAAACUCACAGAGAUCUGCCUGCCUCUGCCCCCAGAGUGCUAGGAUUAAAGGCGUGCGCCACCACUGCUGGUAAAAAAGAAAAACAAAACCCAAACCCUUGUUUCUUCCCGCAUACCCUCUCAGUAAGUUUAUCUUCUCCUUGUGGCUUCAGAGCCCUGAGCAGAGCAGGGUUUAUCAACCCCACAUCACAGAGGAAACAUAAAAGGCCCAUUCACCCUGAGAGCAGACGGCUCAGCACAGUGCCCUGGGGCGGGCUACGGCUGCAACAUACUGCGGGUUGUUUCACGAGAGUCUGGGGGGCAUGAACAUAAAAUGGGUCUUUAGGGCAAUGUAUCUACGUUACUACACGGCUGCAAAGGUUAUCAUGUCCCAAACCACCAUAAAAGAGAGCCCAAGGUAGCCUUGAUUUCUUGAUUUCUUUGUUCUGUUGCUGUUUUGUAACUCAGGAUUAAAGCAUCCA
rnacentral:lncRNA from 1 species